GAAAUAUCAACGCUAAUUCACAUUCUCUUUAAAAGCAAUUCCAAUGAGAAGCCCGUCGCCCUCGUGGUGAUGUGAGGCUCCAUGACGUCUGGAAUCCGUCUGUAGAAUGGAGAAAAUAUCGAAAAAUCUUGGGUGCGAUGUUCUUCUGUCAGUGAAGAGGGUUGCAGUGAUUGGUCGUACAU
rnacentral:sRNA from 1 species